rnacentral:ncRNA from 2 species
AUAAAAGAUAAAGGCAGCGAUGCAUCAGAGUAUCUUAGGGAGAAGACAUUCUAUGAACUGAGAGAAAGGUAACCAUCGCCGAAAGAAAAUAAUGGUGAUUAUUUUCUUGGGGUCUAGGGAAAUACCCUAUUCACUCCUUCGUAAGAAGAGGCGUUAUCAUGGAA